UACGUAGGGGGCAAGCGUUGUCCGGAUUUAUUGGGCGUAAAGAGCGUGUAGGCGGUUUGGUAGGUCCGCUGUGAAAACUCGAGGCUCAACCUCGAGACGCCGGUGGAAACCAUCAGACUAGAGUCCGGAAGAGGAGAGUGGAAUUCCCGGUGUAGCGGUGAAAUGCGCAGAUAUCGGGAGGAACACCAGUAGCGAAGGCGGCACUCUGGGCCGUGACUGACGCUGAGGAGCGAAAGCGUGGGUAGCAAACAGG
rnacentral:rRNA from 1 species